UAUACAUUCAUAUUACUUCCAUUUAUUCCUCUCCCCUUUCAGAACAAAGUAUUCAUACAAAAACUGCGUCCCCUUCCCCCACACUUUUGAAGCACCAGACAUGACUGAGCCACCAAAAUAUGCGUAUCCCUAUCCCGCUCAAGGUACUCCUUGUUAUACAUAACGUACACAAUCUAUAUACACUCACUCGCACUUCAUUUUGAUGAAUGAUUUAAUUACAACACAGGUUAUUACCAAGGUCCUCCACCUCCAGUAAUGGCACCUCCACAAUAUUAUGCCCCUGCUCCUCCACCCCGGAGAGAACCCAGUUUCCUCGAGGGAUGGUACUGUCUCUCUCUCUCGGUGUUAAUUUUUCUUUUCUUGUUUCAUUAAUGAAGAAUUUUACCUCAAUUUUGAUUUGGAUUUUAUGACAGUCUCGCUGCUUUAUGUUGCUGUUUCCUAAUUGAUGAGUGUUGCUGCGACCCCUCCAUCAUUUUCAUUAGCUGAUCCUUGAACAAAUUAAUAUUUUCUGUCUGCACUGAUGAAUGUACUGAUGCAUUAUAAGAUAAUUGCAAGCAUUUUUAUUUUAAUUUUAGUUUCAUCAUCUUGAGUAGUUUAAAUGUUUAACCGUCUGUUGUAUCUUCUUCUUUUGUUAAUUUCUUGAGCAGUAAAUUAAACUUUGGCAUAUAAGAA
rnacentral:lncRNA from 1 species